GAUCCAAUCCAGACCGAGUCGCCGUCCGCCGUCCGCCGUCCCGCCUUGCGGCUGCGCGCACCUACACCUUGUGUCGCGCUCCCUGCCUCCGUCCCGCACGGCGCCGCUCCCUGCCUCCACCCCGUGUCGCGCUCUGCCUCCAUCCCGUGCGGCCGCCGGCCAUGCAUCUUUGUCCGCCAUGGCCAUGGAGCAGGAAUGAAUAAAGGAAGCUUUCUGCUCUCUACUUCUCCUUCACAGUAUGAAGCUUAAUUUCCGACAUUUCUUUUUAUGGUGAAAGAUCUCGGUGUUGUUGUGUUAGCCUUUUUAUGGGGAGAUUUCAGGCUUCUCUAUGUUUUUUAAUCUUUUGAAGAUUUCUUGGAUGGUUUUGGAUCCAUUUAGUCUUGUUGUGUUCAAUACUUCCAUUCUAUGGAUGAAUGGAUGGGACAUAUUCACAUGGAUAUGAAUCGUAUUACUUGAAUCAU
rnacentral:sRNA from 1 species